rnacentral:rRNA from 1 species
UGGGGAAUUUUCCGCAAUGGGCGAAAGCCUGACGGAGCAAUACCGCGUGAGGGAGGAAGGCUUUUGGGUUGUAAACCUCUUUUAUCAGGGAAGAAAAAAUGACGGUACCUGAGGAAUAAGCAUCGGCUAACUCCGUGCCAGCAGCCGCGGUAAUACGGAGGAUGCAAGCGUUAUCCGGAAUUAUUGGGCGUAAAGCGUCCGCAGGUGGCACUUCAAGUCUGCUGUCAAAGACCGGAGCUUAACUCUGGAGAGGCGGUGGAAACUGAAGAGCUAGAGUACGGUAGGGGUAGAGGGAAUUCCCAGUGUAGCGGUGAAAUGCGUAGAGAUUGGGAAGAACACCGGUGGCGAAGGCGCUCUACUGGGCCGUAACUGACACUCAGGGACGAAAGCUAGGGUAGCGAAAGGGAUUAGAUACCCCCGUAGUCC